GGCGAUGAUCCAGCAGAAAUCUGUGGCGUAGAUCUAGUGUUUCCCCUGUGUUCAAAUAAUGCAAGAUCUCGCAGUGUGGGAUUGCAAUUCUUAAUUAAUGGUGCAGCAAAAAGAAACUAUGAAACAAAACAAAAUUUAUCAAAAAAGCUUCUUGAAGAAGCACUUUCCGCUUGGUUUGGUAAUGCUCGAGAUAGAGGUAAAGACAGCCGAAAAGAGAGAAAUUCAAAUGCAGCAAACACGGAAAACAACAUAUAGAAUGUUUAAUGUACAUUGUUUAUAUAUCGAAUGCAGCAACAAACACACAUAUAUAUAUAUUGAUUACAUAUUUAAUAAUAGUUUAUUUUAUUUAAUAAAACAUACAUGCACAUG